rnacentral:rRNA from 1 species
AGGAAUAUUGGUCAAUGGGCGUAAGCCUGAACCAGCCAAGUAGCGUGAGGGAAGACUGCCCUAUGGGUUGUAAACCUCUUUUGUGCGGGGAUAAAGUGUGGGACGUGUCCCAUAUUGCAGGUACCGCACGAAUAAGGACCGGCUAAUUCCGUGCCAGCAGCCGCGGUAAUACGGAAGGUCCGAGCGUUAUCCGGAUUUAUUGGGUUUAAAGGGUGCGUAGGCGGUUUGAUAAGUUAGAGGUGAAAUUUCGGGGCUCAACCCUGAACGUGCCUCUAAUACUGUUGAGCUAGAGAGUAGUUGCGGUAGGCGGAAUGUAUGGUGUAGCGGUGAAAUGCUUAGAGAUCAUACAGAACACCGAUUGCGAAGGCAGCUUACCAAACUAUAUCUGACGUUGAGGCACGAAAGCGUGGGGAGCAAACAGGAUUAGAUACCCUGGUAGUCCACGCAGUAAACGAUGAUAACUCGUUGUCGGCGACACACAGUCGGUGACUAAGCGAAAGCGAUAAGUUAUCCACCUGGGGAGUACGUUCGCAAGAAUGAAACUCAAAGGAAUUGACGGGGGCCCGCACAAGCGGAGGAACAUGUGGUUUAAUUCGAUGAUACGCGAGGAACCUUACCCGGGCUUGAAAGUUAGCGACGAUUCUUGAAAGAGGAUUUCCCUUCGGGGCGCGAAACUAGGUGCUGCAUGGUUGUCGUCAGCUCGUGCCGUGAGGUGUCGGGUUAAGUCCCAUAACGAGCGCAACCCCUACCGUUAGUUGCCAUCAGGUGAAGCUGGGCACUCUGGCGGGACUGCCGGUGUAAGCCGAGAGGAAGGUGGGGAUGACGUCAAAUCAGCACGGCCCUUACGUCCGGGGCUACACACGUGUUACAAUGGUAGGUACAGAGGGCAGCUACCCAGCGAUGGGAUGCGAAUCUCGAAAGCCUAUCUCAGUUCGGAUUGGAGGCUGAAACCCGCCUCCAUGAAGUUGGAUUCGCUAGUAAUCGCGCAUCAGCCAUGGCGCGGUGAAUACGUUCCCG